rnacentral:rRNA from 1 species
UUGUUCACCCCGAAAAAGUUUUAGGACUAGCCUCGUGUUAUGUUAUCGGAGGUAUAGCAAUGAAUGGGAUAGGGGCCCCACAAGGUUUACCGACCCCAAUCAAACUCCGAAUGCCGAUUAAAUGAUGCACGGGAGUCAGACUGCGGGUGAUAAGAUUCGUAGUCGAGAGGGUAAGAGCCCAGACCCACAGCUAAGGUCCCUAAAUCAAACCUAAGUGAUUAAAGGAAGUUGGAUUGCCCAGACAGCUAGGAGGUUGGCUUAGAAGCAGCCAUCCUUUAAAGAAAGCGUAACAGCUCACUAGUUAAGUGAUCCGGCGCCGAAAAUACUCGGGGCUUAAGGUUUGUACCGAAGCUUGGGAUACGUUGCUUGCAACGUAUGGUAGGGGAGCAUUCCGUAGGUGGUUGAAGCAAGAUCGCGAGUUCUUGUGGACACAUCGGAAGAGCUUAUGCCGGCAUGAGUAGCGAUAAAACAGGUGAGAAACCUGUUCGCCGUAAGUCUAAGGUUUCCUGAGGAAGGCUAAUCCGCUCAGGGUAAGUCGGCCCCUAAGCCGAGGCCGAAAGGCGUAGGUGAUGGGAAUCCGGUUAAAAUUCCGGAACCUGAUCGAUUUCGUUUGUACGAUGGGGUGACGCAGAAGUGAAAGUUCAGCGCACUGAUGGAUGUGCGUCCAAGGAGGUAGGGGGAAGGCCCAGGUAAAUCCAGGCCUUCUUAACCCCGAGAUCUGAUGGGGAAACAAGUCUUCGGACGAGCCAACUGAACCUAAUCAUGCUGCCGAGAAAAACCUCUAAGGAGAGAUCGGUCAGACCGUACCGUAAACCGACACAGGUAGGCGAGGAGAGUAUCCUAAGGCGCUCGAGAGAACCCUGGUGAAGGAACUAGGCAAAAUCGCCCCGUAACUUCGGGAGAAGGGGCGCCACUAGUAGGUGAAGCGGCUUGCCCGUGGAGCCAAACGUGGCCGCAGUGAAAAGGCCGUGGCGACUGUUUACUAAAAACACAGGUCUCUGCAAAGUCGCAAGACGACGUAUAGGGACUGACACCUGCCCGGUGCCGAUCUGUUAAGGGGAGGGGUUAGCUUUACGCGAAGCUCUGAACCGAAGCCUCGGUAAACGGCGGCCGUAACUAUAACGGUCCUAAGGUAGCGAAAUUCCUUGUCGGGUAAGUUCCGACCUGCACGAAUGGUGUAACGAUCGA